UACAGAGGGUGCAAGCGUUAAUCGGAGUUACUGGGCGUAAAGGGCACGUAGGCGGUUAUUUAAGUCAGUUGUGAAAUCCCCGGGCUUAACCUGGGAACUGCAAUUGAUACUGGGUAACUAGAGUCGAAUAGAGGGAAGCGGAAUUUCCGGUGUAGCGGUGAAAUGCGUAGAUAUCGGAAGGAACACCCGUGGCGAAGGCGGCUUCCUGGAUUCAGACUGACGCUGAGGUGCGAAAGCGUGGGUAGCGAACAGG
rnacentral:rRNA from 1 species